rnacentral:rRNA from 1 species
GACGAACGCUGGCGGCGUGCCUAAUACAUGCAAGUCGAGCGGAACUGGGGGAGCUUGCUCCUUCCAGUUUAGCGGCGGACGGGUGAGUAACACGUGGGCAACCUGCCCUGCAGAUCGGGAUAACUCCGGGAAACCGGUGCUAAUACCGAAUAGUUUGGCGCCUCUCCUGAGGCGCUACGGAAAGACGGUUUCGGCUGUCACUGCAGGAUGGGCCCGCGGCGCAUUAGCUAGUUGGUGGGGUAACGGCCCACCAAGGCGACGAUGCGUAGCCGACCUGAGAGGGUGGACGGCCACACGGGGACUGAGACACGGCCCAGACUCCUACGGGAGGCAGCAGUAGGGAAUCUUCCGCAAUGGACGCAAGUCUGACGGAGCAACGCCGCGUGAGUGACGAAGGUUUUCGGAUCGUAAAACUCUGUUGUGAGGGAAGAACACGUACCAACUAACUAUUGGUACCUUGACGGUACCUCGCCAGAAAGCCACGGCUAACUACGUGCCAGCCGCCGCAGUAA